AACGCACAUUGCGCCCUUUGGUAUUCCUUAGGGCAUGCCUGUUCGAGCGUCAUUUAAACCUUCAAGCUAAGCUUGGUGUUGGGUGACUGUCCGCUUCACGGCGGACUCGCCUCAAAAUUAUUGGCGGCCGGUACAUUGGCUUCGAGCGCAGCAGAAACGCGAACUCGGGCCCGUCGUAUUGGCUCCCAGAAGCUAUCUUCACAAUUUUGACCUCGGAUCAGGUAGGGAUACCCGCUGAACUUAA
rnacentral:misc_RNA from 1 species